rnacentral:tRNA from 1 species
UGGUGGCCUCGCUGGGCUUCGUGCCGAUGGCCUUCAACGUCGGCGCCGGCUCGGAGGUGCAGCGUCCGCUGGCGACCGU